UGGGGAAUCUUGCGCAAUGGCCGAAAGGCUGACGCAGCGACGCCGCGUGCGGGAUGACGGCCUUCGGGUUGUAAACCGCUGUUGCCCGGGACGAACAACCUGUUUCGACAGGUCUGACGGUACCGGGUGAGGAAGCACCGGCUAACUCUGUGCCAGCAGCCGCGGUAAUACAGAGGGUGCGAGCGUUGUCCGGAAUCACUGGGCGUAAAGGGCGCGUAGGCGGUCUGCUAAGCGGGUGGUGAAAGCCCGGGGCUCAACCCCGGGUCGGCCAUGCGAACUGGUGGACUGGAGCAGAUCAGAGGCAGGCGGAAUUCCGGGUGUAGCGGUGGAAUGCGUAGAGAUCCGGAAGAACACCGGUGGCGAAGGCGGCCUGCUGGGAUCUUGCUGACGCUGAGGCGCGACAGCGUGGGGAGCAAACAG
rnacentral:rRNA from 1 species